rnacentral:rRNA from 1 species
AUUGAACGCUGGCGGCAGGCCUAACACAUGCAAGUAGAGCGGAGCGGCGGACGGGUGAGUAAUGCCUAGGAAUCUGCCUGGUAGUGGGGGAUAACGGCCGGACACGGGCGCUAAUACCGCAUACUCUCAGCUGAGCCGUGGUCGGAUUAGCUAGGUGGUGGGGUAAGGGCCUACCAGGGCGACGAUCCGUAACUGGUAUGAGAGGCUGAUCAGUCACAAUGGAACUGAGAACCGGUCCAGACUCCUACGGGAGGCAGCAGUGGGGAAGAUUGGACAAUGGGCGAAAGCCUGAUCCAGCCAUGCCGCGUGUGUGAAGAAGGUCUUCGGAUUGUAAAGCACUUUAAGUUGGGAGGCGUUACCACCAGAAUAAGCACCGGCUAACUUCGUGCCAGCAGCCGCGGUAAUUC